CCUACGGGAGGCUGCAGUGGGGAAUAUUGCACAAUGGGGGAAACCCUGAUGCAGCGACGCCGCGUGAGUGAAGAAGUCUUUCGGUAUGUAAAGCUCUGUCAGCAGGGAAGAAAAUGACGGUACCUGACCAAGAAGCCCCGGCUAUCUACGUGCCAGAAGCCGCGGUAACACGGAGGGGGCCAGCGUUAUCCGGAUUUACCGGGUGUAAAGGGAGCGUAGACGGGAGGGCAAGUCUGUAGUGAAAGGUGGGGGCUCAACCCCCGGACUGCACUUGAAACCGGCAGGCUGGAGUGCAGGAGAGGUAAGUGGAAUUCCUGGUGUAGCGGUGAAAUGCGUAGAUAUUAGGAGGAACACCAGUGGCGAAGGCAGCUUACUGGACUGUAACUGACGUUGAGGCUCGAAAGCGUGGGGAGCAAACAGGAUUAGAUACCCGAGUAGUC
rnacentral:rRNA from 1 species